GCUGAAAAACCGGUUCUCGUACGAUUACCGAAGUUAAGCAACGUCGAGCCUUGUCAAUACCUCCAUGGGUUACCGCUUAGGAAAACCAGGUACUGUAA